rnacentral:rRNA from 1 species
UACGUAGGGGGCAAGCGUUGUCCGGAAUCAUUGGGCGUAAAGCGCGCGUAGGCGGUUACUUAAGUCGAAUGUAAAAGCCCUCGGCUUAACCGAGGAAGUGCAUCCGAAACUGAGUAGCUAGAGUACGAAAGAGGGUCGCGGAAUUCCCGGUGUAGAGGUGAAAUUCGUAGAUAUCGGGAGGAACACCGGUGGCGAAGGCGGGUCUCUGGGCCGAUAUUGACGCUGAGGAGCGAAAGCGUGGGGAGCGAACAGG